rnacentral:rRNA from 1 species
AGAGUUUGAUCAUGGCUCAGAACGAACGCUGGCGGCAUGCUUUACACAUGCAAGUCGAACGAGUAUGGCCUAGCUUGCUAGGACCCAGCUAGUGGCAAACGGGUGAGUAACGCGUGGGAACCUACCUAAUAGUAUGGAAUAGCUGUUGGAAACGACGAUUAAUACCAUAUACGCCCUACGGGGGAAAGAUUUAUCGCUAUUAGAUGGGCCCGCGUUAGAUUAGUUUGUUGGUGGGGUAAUGGCCUACCAAGGCAACGAUCUAUAGCUGGUCUGAGAGGAUGAUCAGCCACACUGGGACUGAGACACGGCCCAGACUCCUACGGGAGGCAGCAGUGGGGAAUAUUGGACAAUGGGCGAAAGCCUGAUCCAGCAAUGCCGCGUGAGUGAUGAAGGCUCUAGGGUUGUAAAACUCUUUCAGUGGGGAAGAUAAUGACGGUACCCCACAGAAGAAGCACCGGCUAACUCCGUGCCAGCAGCCGCGGUAAUACGGAGGGUGCUAGCGUUGUUCGGAAUUACUGGGCGUAAAGCGCGCGUAGGCGGCUUAGCAAGUUGGAAGUGAAAUCCCGGAGCUCAACUCCGGAAUUGCUUUCAAAACUGCUAAGCUAGAGUAUGGUAGGGGAUAGCGGAAUUCCUAGUGUAGAGGUGAAAUUCGUAGAUAUUAGGAGGAACACCAGAGGCGAAGGCGGCUAUCUGGGCCAUUACUGACGCUAAGGCGCGGAAGCGUGGGGAGCAAGCAGGAUUAGAUACCCUGGUAGUCCACGCCGUAAACGAUGGGUGCUAGAUAUUGGGAGUUUUCUUUCAGUGUCGUAGCAAACGCGUUAAGCACCCCGCCUGGGGAGUACGGUCGCAAGAUUAAAACUCAAAGGAAUUGACGGGGACCCGCACAAGCGGUGGAGCAUGUGGUUUAAUUCGAUGCUACGCGAAGAACCUUACCACCCUUUGACAUCCUGAUCGCGGAGGACAGAGAUGACCUCCUUCAGCUCGGCUGGAUCACCUCCUU